rnacentral:rRNA from 1 species
UGGGGAAUUUUGGACAAUGGGGGAAACCCUGAUCCAGCCAUCCCGCGUGUGCGAUGAAGGCCUUCGGGUUGUAAAGCACUUUUGGCAGGAAAGAAACGUCAUGGGUUAAUACCCCGUGAAAUUUACGGUACCUGCAGAAUAAUCUCCGGCUAACUACGUGCCAGCAGCCGCGGUAAUACGUAGGGUGCAAGCGUUAAUCGGAAUUAUUUGGCGUAAAGCGUCCGCAGGCGGUUCGGAAAGAAAGAUGUGAAAUCCCAGCGCUAAACUUUGGAACGGCAUUUUUAACUACCGGGCUAGAGUGUGUCAGAGGGAGGUGGAAUUCCGCGUGUAGCAGUGAAAUGCGUAGAUAGGCGGAGGAACACCGAUGGCGAAGGCAGCCUCCUGGGAUAACACUGACGAUCAUGCACGAAAGCGUGGGGAGCAAACAGG